AUAAGCAGAUGGCCUCCGCCCCCACCCCCGGGAGGAUUUCUUAAUGGGGUGCCAAUGCCAGUCCCCGAAGCCAGGGUUCCCGGACCCUCGGGGCUGAGCUGGGCGCUGGAGCCCCGCAGGGGCAGAGAGGCCGGCCGAGCCUGAAGAAGUGGAGAAGAGAUCUACACAACUUCAGUGGGGUGUCCCCGUCCCGUCUUCCUGUUCGCCCUCUUUUGCCCUCAACUCCAUCUCUGAGACAUCCUACCCUCCCCCCAAAAAAGAAGUCACUACCGGGGCUCUGUCUACAGAGAGCCAGGGUGAGAGCGGGCAAGGCGAGAGAACGACCUCGGUCGUGGGCAAGUAGCUUGUUUUUACGUCCUUCAAUAAAAUUUUUAUGAGGAUCA